UACGUAGGGUGCGAGCGUUGCCCGGAAUUAUUGGGCGUAAAGAGCUUGUAGGCGGUCUGUCGCGUCUGCUGUGAAAAUCCGGGGCUCAACCCCGGACUUGCAGUGGGUACGGGCAGACUAGAGUGUGGUAGGGGAGACUGGAAUUCCUGGUGUAGCGGUGAAAUGCGCAGAUAUCAGGAGGAACACCGGUGGCGAAGGCGGGUCUCUGGGCCGAUACUGACGCUGAGGAGCGAAAGCGUGGGGAGCGAACAGG
rnacentral:rRNA from 1 species